rnacentral:lncRNA from 1 species
AAACGUUGAUUAACUCCUCAAUACUCUAGCUAAGAACCACAAUUAUGCAUCAUCAUCUUCUACUUUGUGAUCCUUGUUCUGCUUCUAGUGUUUCUUGCCAGAGUUGCCUAUUCAAUCAUCUAGGUGCCAUGGGUCAUCGCACGUCCAAUGGCAUUGUGCCACGACACCCUCGAGCGUGUGUGUCUAUUCUAUCACAAGUGGUCACG